GGGAUACUCAGCGCAGCUGGAUCCAUUAACUCUUCGCUCACUAGCUGCUUUGCUUUUCCCCCCAAGAAUCUAAUAAAAUACAGGUGAAGAAACUGAGAUCAAGAAGGUUAAUUGAUUUGCCACUAUAAAAUGCUGCUUCACCAAUCAUUCCACAUCAUCUCACCUAUACUUGAAUGAGAAUCUGCUCUAAAACAUACCUGAAGAAUUGACAUCCAGCCUCUUGAAGACUUCUGUUUUACCCUCAGAAUAGUGGGGGCAGAAGAUUUUGGACCUCCUUCCCAAAGACAUAUGGAUGGCAAAGCCCCACAUGGACCAGGCUCCAAUGCUGUCUCCACCAAGUUAUUAUGAUAUUCUACAAGAACAAGAUUCUGGACUCUCUGGCUUGGACUGUCCUUUUUUGGGCAAGCCCAGAAACCUGCAAGACAUGCACUACCAUCAGAUGAAUGAGAGCCAAGAUGGACCUUCUUUCAAGCGUCGAGGUGGUGUAGUGGACCAUCGGGAUAUCAUCUUGGCUCACCAGGCCCACAAAAUCCACAGUACCCCACAAGCCAAGAGGAAGGAAUGGGAAAGAUGGUUGUCUGAAGGAGAUGUGAUGGUUUAUGGA
rnacentral:lncRNA from 1 species